rnacentral:rRNA from 1 species
GACGAACGCUGGCGGCGUGCUUAACACAUGCAAGUCGAACGGAAAGGCCUUUUCGGAGGUACUCGAGUGGCGAACGGGUGAGUAACACGUGGGUGAUCUGCCCUGCACUCUGGGAUAAGCCUGGGAAACUGGGUCUAAUACCGGAUAGGACCGCACUUUAGUGUGUGUGGUGGAAAGUUUUUUCGGUGUAGGAUGAGCCCGCGGCCUAUCAGCUUGUUGGUGGGGUAAUGGCCUACCGAGGCGGCGACGGGUAGCCGGACUGCGAGGUUGGUCGGCCACAUUGGGACUGAGAUACGGCCCAGACUCCGACGGGAGGCAGCAGUGGGGAAUAUUGCACAAUGGGCGCAAGCCUGAUGCAGCGACGCCGCGUGGGGGAUGACGGCCUUCGGGUUGUAAACUCCUUUCGCCAGGGACGAAGCGUUUUGUGACGGUACCUGGAGAAGAAGCACCGGCUAACUACGUG